UACGGGGGGGAGCAAGCGUUGUUCGGAUUUACUGGGCGUAAAGGGCGCGUAGGCGGCGCAACAAGUCACUUGUGAAAUCUCCGGGCUUAACCCGGAGCGGCCAAGUGAUACUGUCGUGCUAGAGUGCGGAAGGGGCUACUGGAAUUCUCGGUGUAGCGGUGAAAUGCGUAGAUAUCGAGAGGAACACCUGCGGUCGAAGGCGGGUAGCUGGGCCGACACUGACGCUGAGGCGCGAAGCCAGGGGAGCGAACGGG
rnacentral:rRNA from 1 species